rnacentral:rRNA from 1 species
GAUGAACGCUGGCGGCGUGCCUAAUACAUACAAGUCGAGCGAAUGGAUUAAGAGCUUGCUCUUAUGAAGUUAGCGGCGGACGGGUGAGUAACACGUGGGUAACCUGCCCAUAAGACUGGGAUAACUCCGGGAAACCGGGGCUAAUACCGGAUAACAUUUUGAACCGCAUGGUUCGAAAUUGAAAGGCGGCUUCGGCUGUCACUUAUGGAUGGACCCGCGUCGCAUUAGCUAGUUGGUGAGGUAACGGCUCACCAAGGCAACGAUGCGUAGCCGAACGGAGAAGGUGAUCGGCCACACUGGGACGGAGACACGGCCCAGACUCCUAUGGGAGGCAGCAGUAGGGAAUCUUCCGCAACGGACGAAAGUCUGACGGAGCAACGCCGCGUGAGUGAUGAAGGCUUUCGGGUCGUAAAACUCUGUUGUUAGGGAAGAACAAGUGCUAGUUGAAUAAGCUGGCACCUUGACGGUACCUAACCAGAAAGCCACGGCUAACUACGUGCCAGCAGCCGCGGUAA